rnacentral:lncRNA from 1 species
UUUCCUGGAAUCUGGUGGCUCGGGGAUUCACACCUGGCCCCGGAAGCUGCCGGGCAGACUCAGAUGGGGAAACUGAGGCUCAGGGAGGCGCUGUAACUGGCCUAAGGUCAUGGGCAAGUUGGUGCAGGACCAAGAUGGGGGUCUCCUCUCCUGACUCCCUGAGACAGUCAAGACUUUAUUCACACAGCUGCCCUCCACCCACAGGCGCUCAGGCACUUUCCCGGAGAGACACGACUCGGUGAUGGCAUCACGGUCUGGUCGCCAGAGUGUGGGUGCCCUCCUCUUCCCUGAGCUUCGGGGCUCUGGAGAGACAGGCCCCCCGCAGCCCACCCCCACGGCCCUCCCCGAGGGUUGGCAAAUCCUCUGCUGUCCGUCCGCUUGAGGCGGGAUCUCCUCUUAUUUGGGCCGGUGUGAGCUGUGCCGACGAGCUUGAUCCUCUCACGCACGCUUUCUGGGGCUGCCUUUCUAUCUGUGUGUAUUUCUUCAAAUUGCAAAAUAUAUCAUGCACAUGGAGUGUAAACUUGCGCUUGUUCUAAGGAAUAACACCAACUAGGUUAAGAAAUAGGAAGUCUGCAGCAACUUUGAAGCCGUCUGGGGACACCCCCCUCACUACCUCCUCCCCUCACCCCCCAAACUAACAAUUAUGCAAACUCUUACGACCAUCAUUCCCUUGCUUUUCUUUCUUUGUGGUUUUUACCUUAUUGUUUAGUUUUGCCUGCUUUUGGACUUUAUGUCAAUGGAAGCACACUUUAUCCCUCUGUGACUUGCUUCUUUCACUCGACAUUGGGUUUAUGAAUUCAUCCAUGUUGUUGUGUGAACCAUAAAUGGUUCAUCUUCAUCGCUCUCUAAUAUUCCGUCGUAUGAAUAUGCAACAAUUUAGUUAUCUGACCUACUGCUGAUAGGCGUUGUUUCCAGUUUUUGGAUAAUUUCACUAAUGCUGCUAUGAAUAUUCAUGUCUCUUGGGGCACAAGGGCAAGAGUUUCUCUAGCACGUAUCUAAGAGUCAAAUUUCUGACGUUUUCAACUUAUGGGGUAGUAACAAACUCUUUUUCAGACGGUUGUACCAACUUCAUCCCCGUCAGCAAUUU